rnacentral:rRNA from 1 species
AGCAGUCGCCACGGUAAUACGAAGGGUGCAAGCGUUAAUCGGAAUUACUGGGCGUAAAGCGUGCGUAGGCGGUUUGUUAAGUCUGCUGUGAAAUCCCCGGGCUCAACCUGGGAAUGGCAGUGGAUACUGGCAAGCUAGAGUGUGUCAGAGGAUGGUGGAAUUCCCGGUGUAGCGGUGAAAUGCGUAGAGAUCGGGAGGAACAUCAGUGGCGAAGGCGGCCAUCUGGGACAACACUGACGCUGAGGCACGAAAGCGUGGGGAGCAAACAGGAUUAGAUACCCGGUAGUCCCUGUCUCUUAUACA